GUCGCGUUCGUCUAGCGGAGAGGGUACCGGGCCUUCAACCCGGGGACGCGGGUUCGAGCCCCGCACGCGAUACCA
rnacentral:tRNA from 1 species